UGACAUAAUCCUCAACUCCAUCUCAGUG
rnacentral:sRNA from 1 species